UAUGGAAUGUCAAAUUUCUAGUAUGAGAAAUUAACGAUUUAAGUCCUUCUUAAAUGAGGCCAUUUACCCAAAGAGGGUGCCAGGCCCGUAUAACGUUAAUGAUUACUAGAUGGCAUUUCCAAAGAGUCGUGUUGCUUGAUAGUGCAGCACUAAGUGGGUGGUAAACUCCAUCUAAAACUAAAUAUAACCAUGAGACCGAUAGUAAACAAGUACCGUGAGGGAAAGUUGAAAAGAACUCUGAAUAGAGAGUUAAAUAGUACGUGAAACUGCUUAGAGGUUAAGCCCGAUGAACCUGAAUAUCCAUUAUAGAAAAUUCAUCAUUAUGAUUUUAAUAUUUAUAAUAUUAUAAUAAUGGUGUGCAUUUUUUCUAUAAAAGGACAUUGUAAUCUAUUAACAUGCAAAAAUUUAUCAUAAGAUCAAUUGCAAAAGUUUAUUCAAAUUAUUUUGCUUGCAAUUUAACAUAGAAUAAAUGCUUUUGAUUUGAUAAAGUGUUGAUAGAUUUAUUAUAUAUAGUGCUUAAAUAUUUAUAUUUUAUAAUAGCAUAUUAAUCAUUGAUUUUUAUGUUUAUUAUAUGCACUUAUAUGAUUAACAAUGCGAAAGAUUCAGGAUACCUUCGGGACCCGUCUUGAAACACGGACCAAGGAGUCUAACAUAUUUGCAAGUUAUUGGGAAUAAAAACCUAAUAGCGAAAUUAACAUAACUUAUUUAAUGGGAUUAAUUUUUAGCCUAUUUAUAGUCUAUUAAUUCAAUCCCGGGGCGUUCUAUAUAGUUAUGUAUAAUAAUAUUUAUAUUAUUUAUACCUCUAACUAGAGCGUACCUUGAGCAUAUAUGCUGUGACCCGAAAGAUGGUGAACUAUACUUGAUCAGGUUGAAG
rnacentral:rRNA from 1 species